rnacentral:lncRNA from 1 species
AUGGGUUUGUGGUUUGCAGCUGCAUUACUGUGCUUGCAAUGCGUGCUCAGGGUUUGCAAAUGGGUUUGUGGUUUGCAGCUGCUUUUUGGGGCUUGCAGAGUGUUUGCAAUGCAUGCUCAGAGUGGGCACCUGCACUUGGAGUUUGCAAAUGUGUUUGUGGUUUGCAGCUGCAAUUUGGGGGCUGCAGAGUGUUUGCAAUGCAUGCUCAGGUGCUUGCACUUGCAGUUUGCAAAUGGGUUUGGAGUUUGCAGCUGCAUUUGGGGCCUGCAGUGUUUGCAAUGUGUGCUCUUGGCAUGCACCUGCACUUGGAGUUUGCAAACGGCUUUGGUGUUUGCAGCUGCAUUGCUGUGUUUGCAAUGCGUGCUCAGGGUUUGCAAAUGGGUUGGGGGCUGCAGCUGCAAUUUGGGGUCUGCAGCUGCACUUGGAGCAUGCACAGUGUUUGCUAUGCGUGCUCAGGGCAUGUGCAUGCACUUGAAGUUUGCAACUGGGUUUGGUUUUGCAACUGGGUUUGGGGUUGCAACUGAACUUGGGACAUGCACAGUGCUUGCAAUGCAUGCUCAGGUUGUGCAAAUGCACUUGCAGUUUGCAAACGGGUUGGGGGCUGCAGCUGCAAUUUGGGGUCUGCAAAGUGUUUGCAAUACAUGCUCAGGGUUUGCACCUGGGUUUGGGGUUUGCAUGUGCCUGCAAAGUUUGCAGUGCAUGCAACUGGUUUGCAAAUGGGUUUGGGGGUUUGCAGCUGCAAUUUGGGGGCUGCAAAUUGUUUGCAGUGCAUGCUCAGGGUUUGCAACUGGGUUUAGGGUUUGCAGUUGCAAUUUGGGGUCUGCAGUGUUUGCAAUGUGUGCUCAGAGUGUGCACAUGCACUUGCUGUUUGCAACUGGGUUUAGGGUUUGCAGCUGCACUUGGAGCAUGCACAGUGCUUGCAAUGCAUGCUCAGGGUUUGCAGCUGGGUUUGGGUUUGCAAAUAGGUUGGGAUCGCAGCUGCAAUUUGGGGCUGCAGAGUGUUUGCAAUGCGUGCUCAGGGUGUGCACGUGCACUUGGAGUUUGCAAAUGGGUUUGGGGUUUGCAGCUGCACUUUGGGGUCUGCACAGUUUGCAAUGCAUGCUCAGGGUUUGCACCCGGGUUUUGGGUUUGCAAAUGGGUUUGGGGUUUGCAGCUGCAAUUUGGGGGUCUGCAAUGCUUGCAAUGCGUGCUCANNNNNNNNNNNNNNNNNNNNNNNNNCCGCUC